AACGCACAUUGCGCUCUCUGGUAUUCCGGAGAGCAUGCUUGUUUGAGUAUCAGUAAAACACCUCAAGUCCGCUCUUCAUCUUUGAAGACGGAUUUGGACUUGAGCGAUCCCAACAGGAGGGCUUUCCUUCUGGCGGGUUGCUUGAAAUGCAGGUGCAGCUGGACUUUCUUCUGGGCUAUAAGCAUAUUUAUUUAGUCCCGUUAAACGGAUUAUUACUUUUUGCUGCAGCCAACGUAAAGGUUGAUUGUCCUCUUGCUGACUGAUGCAGGAAUUUUCGGGGGAUCGGCAACGAUUUCCCGUUAAGCUCGAUCUCAAAUCAAGUAAGACUACCCGCUGAACUUAA
rnacentral:misc_RNA from 1 species